rnacentral:rRNA from 1 species
GCAGGGAAUUUUGUGCAAUGGGCGAAAGCCUGACACAGCGACGCCGCGUGAGGGAUGAAGGCCUUCGGGUUGUAAACCUCUUUUCUCAGGGAAGAAUAAUGACGGUACCUGAGGAAUAAGUCUCGGCCAACUACGUGCCAGCAGCCGCGGUAAUACGUAGGAGGCAAGCGUUAUCCGGAUUUAUUGGGCGUAAAGAGGGUGUAGGUGGCUCUAUAAGUCGGUUGUGAAAUCUCCUGGCUUAACUGGGAGGGGUCAGCCGAUACUGUGGGGCUUGAGGGCAGUAGAGGGAGGUGGAAUUCCCGGUGUAGUGGUGAAAUGCGUAGAUAUCGGGAGGAACACCAGUGGCGAAAGCGGCCUCCUAGGCUGCACCUGACGCUGAGGCCCGAAAGCGUGGGGAGCGAACAGGAUUAGAAACCCCGGUAGUCC